AUUUAAGACACUUAAGAAAAGCCCCAUGUGGGUUCUCCCAGUUUAGAGCUGGGAAUGAAUACUAUAUUAAUUGUGCAAACUGGUUGUAAAAGUAUCUUGCGCAACACAUGCUUGACUGUAGUCCCUUGACGCAUGGUGUAUUCACCCAUUUUUCUGAAUGUCAAGGACAUACUGAACCAUAAAUGAACAACGGUAUGUUUGCUAACCUGUUAGGUUAAAAUGUAGUUAGCUAAAGUUCAAUAAGUCAUGUGAAAACACCCAACACCUUCCUCUACGAGUAAAAUGCUAUUACUCCGGAUGUUCUAGAUCGCUUUAUCGCAAAGGCGAGGGAGUAUUACUUGAUUACGUCAUCAACGUGCGCCACAGAGUCGUGCGUGUGAGAUACCGUACGUCCUGUAAGGGGAAGAGGCCGUCAUAGUAGAUUUAUUUUGAAGAAACCACUUCGUUUGAACAGGUCUAGUCCGGAUUUUUUUUGUCCCUUUCCGAUAUUUUUCCUCAAUUCACAUUUUCUUUUGACGCUUCGAGUAAAACCUCAUAGAUCAAGCCACGACCGCAGAAUAUGGAAACUGAAGAAGAUGCUCCCCCUCCAAAGCAGCAGCCUAUGAUAUACAUCUGCGGAGAUUGCCACAAAGAAAAUGAGAUAAAAGCAAGAGAUCCUAUCAGAUGCAGAGAGUGUGGUUACAGAAUAAUGUAUAAGAAAAGAACAAAAAGAUUAGUUGUAUUUGAUGCCCGAUGAAGAGAACAGAAGAUGCAUCUAAUUGAUCUGAAUUCAUGUCCAUUCUAUGUUGAUUUUAUUUAAGCAAAUACUCCAAUUUUGGUUCUUGCAAUAAAAUUUUAUUCAAAUA